GGCAACCCUGACGGAGCAACGCCGCGUGUGGGAGGACGGCCUUCGGGUUGUAAACCACUUUUCUCUGGGAAGAUGAUGACGGUACCAGAGGAAUCAGCCUCGGCUAACUCCGUGCCAGCAGCCGCGGUAAUACGGAGGAGGCAAGCGUUAUCCGGAAUUAUUGGGCGUAAAGGGUCCGCAGGUGGCUAGUCAAGUCAGCUGUUAAAGGCCGGGGCUUAACUCCGGACGAGCAGUUGAAACUGGAUAGCUAGAGUACGGUAGGGGUAGAGGGAAUUCCCGGUGUAGCGGUGAAAUGCGUAGAGAUCGGGAAGAACACCGGUGGCGAAGGCGCUCUACUGGACCGUGACUGACACUCAGGGACGAAAGCUAGGGGAGCG
rnacentral:rRNA from 1 species